CAGUAGCCACGGGAAUACGAAGGGUGCAAGCGUUAAUCGGAAUUACUGGGCGUAAAGCGCGCGUAGGUGGUUUGGUAAGAUGGAUGUGAAAUCCCCGGGCUCAACCUGGGAACUGCAUCCAUAACUGCCUGACUAGAGUACGGUAGAGGGUGGUGGAAUUUCCUGUGUAGCGGUGAAAUGCGUAGAUAUAGGAAGGAACACCAGUGGCGAAGGCGACCACCUGGACUGAUACUGACACUGAGGUGCGAAAGCGUGGGGAGCAAACAGGAUUAGAUACCCCAGUAGUCCCUGUCUCUUAUAA
rnacentral:rRNA from 1 species